UGCCAAGAAUGGACAUCAGCAUCUGUAGA
rnacentral:piRNA from 1 species